GGGUUGUCAUGCCAAUGGCACUGCCCGGUAGCUAAAUGCGGAAGAGAUAAGUGCUGAAAGCAUCUAAGCACGAAACUUGCCCCGAGAUGAGUUCUCCCUGAGACUUUAAGUCUCCUGAAGGAACGUUAAAGACUAUGACGUUGAUAGGUCGGGUGUGUAAGCGCAGCGAUGCGUUGAGCUAACCGAUACUAAUGAACCGUGAGGCUUAACCUU
rnacentral:rRNA from 2 species